CAAAAUGGUAUUUAUUGACAUUUAUGCAUAUAUAUAAGAGAAGUAUAUGGAUAAACGAGUGGACACGCCUAUCGCCAACGUUAGUGGAUGGAAAUAUACUUCUGUCCUUAGUUGGGAACUAAGCGCUAAUGCGCUUGCGUGUUAUUAUGUAGUGUUAUUUACCAAGCAUUUACUCCAGUUUGACAUAACGGAUUGAGUAAAGAAGCCUUUCGUAGUUAUAUAAAUCAGUAUACUGUGUUCAUUACUUAGAA